UACGUAGGGGGCAAGCGUUGUCCGGAUUUAUUGGGCGUAAAGAGCGUGUAGGCGGUCAGGCAGGUCGGUUGUGAAAACUGGAGGCUCAACCUUCAGAGGUCGACCGAAACCCCCUGGCUAGAGUCCGGGAGAGGAGAGUGGAAUUCCUGGUGUAGCGGUGAAAUGCGCAGAUAUCAGGAAGAACACCCGUGGCGAAAGCGGCUCUCUGGAACGGUACUGACGCUGAGACGCGAAAGCGUGGGGAGCGAACAGG
rnacentral:rRNA from 1 species